GCGGGCAUAGUUCAGCGGUAGAACGUCUCCUUGCCAAGGAGAAGGCCUCGAGUUCGAAUCUCGUUGCCCGCU
rnacentral:tRNA from 1 species